rnacentral:lncRNA from 7 species
AAGGAAGGUUGCCCGAAACGAACCACAUGUCUUCAUAGAAGUAAUGGUGGAGCUUCGAUUUAUUGCCCAAAUCAGCUCAUACAGAAAUACAGGGUGCACACGGAGAUAGACAGCUCAUGAUUGGUUAGCAUACAGAAAUCACGCGUCUUGCUCGCAAAGCUAUUGGUCCAGCAUUAAUCAUCACACGGCUUUUCACACUGUUCCUCACAUUCCAUUGCCUUAGUCUCUCCCCAGGCUAGCUUCCCCCUUAUCUUAACUGCAGCCUCAGCUUUUCUUUUUGCUUUGACAGCUUCAAGGUCUCAUAGCCUGGGUAGUGCACGUAGCACUCGUACUCACAAUGUCCUUGCUCUUUGAGCCAUUCUCCUGCAACUGGAGAUGGUGGAGAACCACUGUGGGGUUCCUCAGUAUGGCUGUGAGGAGGGACAGCUCCGUUAGGCUGCGGGCAUCGAUGACAAAGAAGACGCCGAGGCCAAAGAUGAGGACAGCAGCGCAGCCCCUCACCACUGCCACCACCAGGUUCCCACGGGACACCAACUCAGCACCUGUGGGGUACAGGUACUUGGGUGUGUUCAUCCCCAGCAUCACCUCCAUGGGGAAGGGAUGUGAUGACACUGCCACCCAUGGGUGGCACUGGGGACAAACACAUGGGGGGCAGGUACCUACCUGGGGGUGCAGGUGUGGGUGUCACCUCCAGCAUCACGCUGUCCCCAAGGGGUGAGGACAGAA